rnacentral:rRNA from 1 species
GAAGGCCCUAGGGUUGUAAAGCUCUUUCACCGGUGAAGAUAGUGACGGUACCCGGAGAAGAAGCCCCGGCUAACUUCGUGCCAGCAGCCGCGGUAAUACGAAGGGGGCUAGCGUUGUUCGGAAUUAUUGGGCGUAAAGCGCACGUAGGCGGAUUGUUAAGUGAGGGGUGAAAUCCCAGGGCUCAACCUUGGAACUGCCUUUGAUACUGGCAAUCUCGAGUCCGAGAGAGGUGAGUGGAAUUCCGAGUGUAGAGGUGAAAUUCGUAGAUAUCCGGAGGAACACCAGUGGCGAAGGCGGCUCACUGGCUCGUUACUGACAGCUGA